GACGAACGCUGGCGGCGUGCUUAACACAUGCAAGUCGAACGAAGUGGCGAACGGGUGAGUAACGCGUAUCAACCUGCCCUUCAGAGGGGGACAACAGUUGGAAACGACUGCUAAUACCGCAUACUAUCAGAUGAGCCUAGGUCGGAUUAGCUAGUUGGUGGGGUAAAGGCCUACCAAGGCGACGAUCCGUAACUGGUCUGAGAGGAUGAUCAGUCACACUGGAACUGAGACACGGUCCAGACUCCUACGGGAGGCAGCAGUAGGGAAUAUUGCUCAAUGGGGGAAACCCUGAAGCAGCAACGCCGCGUGGAGGAUGACACUUUUCGGAGCGUAAACUCCUUUUGUUAGGGAAGCGGUACCUAACGAAUAAGCACCGGCUAACUCCGUGCCAGCAGCCGCGGUAAUUC
rnacentral:rRNA from 1 species